rnacentral:rRNA from 1 species
AUGAACUCUCAUGAGGAAAUCCACCAAUUCUUGGGACUUUGGGAGAAGGUCCAAAAUGUGCAACUAUCAACCUCCAGAGAUAGCAUUGCCUGGCAUCUGUCGGCUGAUGGUUCGUACUCGGCCAAAUCUGCGUACCACGCACAGUUCCUUGGGCGCUUGCACCAACCAGAGCUGGCCAGUGUUUGGAAGGUGAAAACGGAUAGGAAAAUAAGGUUUUUCCUUUGGCUUCUGCUUCAGAACAGAAACUGGACUGCGGACAGAUUGCUUUUGCGCGGAUGGCCACAUGAUCCAAAGUGUAAACUAUGUGACUUGGUGAUUGAAACGGCGGCACAUCUCUCUUUUCAGUGCCCUUAUGUGAGGCAGGUGUGGCUUUCGCUAAGCGCUACUCAUGCUGACCUCACAGCUACAGCGUUGGCUGCCUCCUCGGUGAACUCCUGGUGGGGCGCUUUGCUCCAGCUCAAGCCCAACAAAACAAGGAACAACUCGCUCUCCAUGGCAUCUUUCGCUCUUUGGAACAUCUGGCUGGAAAGGAACAGAAGAACCUUCGAUGGAAAGUGCACUUCGGCAGCUGAUGUUGCUAGGCUUGCUAGUGAUGACUUUCGCCUCUUAGUUGAGGCAUGUGGGGGUUAG